UGGCUGUCGGGAAAUACUUUUACAGGCCUCUAGGGGGCAGAACAACCGUGCCACUGGGCUUCCAGGGUCAAGUUCUGGGCCUUCCUUGUGUAGAUCUCAAAUGCAGAAGACCUUAAUUGGAAAACUGAUUGCCUUUCCAGUCCACCAGUGGAACGCUGCACAAGGACACCGAGAUGUAAGCCCCACUCCUCUGAGGCCCUGCCCCGGAAGUGACCUCCACUCUUCUUUUGGUCCAAUAGUGAGGUGGGCAUGGUCUACUGUGAGAGUCCUGCUUGGAAGAUGCAGGAGUGGCUGGACCCAGGUCAGAUCAGCAGGCGCCCUGGGAGCACUCACUGUGGGCCUGGUCCCUGCUGGGAUCACAGACUCUAGGAGUUCUGGGUGAAAUCUGGAAACGAAAAGGGGUCCUAGUGACGUAAAUCAGACCAAAGUGCAAAAGAUAUAUCAUCAGCAACCUAGGUGCCCAUCAACAGAUGAAUGGAUAAAGAAGAUGUGCUGUGUAUGCACAAUGGAAUACUACUCAGCCAUCAGAAAGAUGAAGUUGUGCCAUUUGUGACAGCAUGGAUGGUCCUUGAGGGUAUUAUGAUAAGCAAAAUAAGUCAGAUGGAGAAAGACAAUUACUGUAUGAUUUCACUCAAAUGUGGAAGAUAAACAAACAAACACAUAGAUAAGGAGAACUGAUCAGUGGUUACCAGAGGGGAAGGGAGCAGGGGGAGGACAAAAGGGGUAAAGGGACACGUUUAUGGUGACGGAUGGAAACAAGACUUUUGGUGGUGAACACGAUGCCAUCUAUACAGAAGCUGAAAUAUAUGAUGUAUACCUGAAAUGUAUAUAAUGUUAUAAACCAGUGUGACCUCAGUAAAAAAAGCAUUAUAUUGCAAAAAAAAAGUGCAUCUCAUAAACAUGCAUGAAUCGAGCCCCUUCUGUGUGCAGCCUGGGAGAAUGUGGCACAUAUGAAAAGCUAUGAACUGUAUCAGGCAGUUGGCGGGGGUAUGGAGUGCCGAAACCAGGGUGGGGGUGGCAGUGGACAGGGAGGGGAUAAGCGUAUUGGCUUUCCUAAGAAGCUGACUCCCAUGGGGGCAGUUGGGAGGGGAGGAAAGCUAGAAUGUGCUGGGACAGGAGGGUGCUUGCCGUGACCCAAGGAUCAGGUGAAGACAGUUGGCUACAGUGGAGAAGGGAAGGUGAGAGGGAGGCAAGGAAUCUGAGAAUAGGAACCGGUCAUGGUCGCUUGAGCAGAGAAGCAGAGAGGAGCAAGAGUGAGGACAGAGCGAAAGAAAAUUCCCACAUGUUGUGUCUGGGUGUGGGGAGGGGGCAGAGCUGAUGGGACCAGGUGGGCCGGCCCCCGAGUGAGAGGGUGGGACAGGACGUCCUGAGAACACUUGCUU
rnacentral:lncRNA from 1 species